GUGGGCUGGGAAAUGGUUGCUGGGUAGCUGGGUUUGCUAAAGCCCAGCCUUAUACCUGCCAGCCUGACCUUGCCCUAGAUAAAGAAGAAAACUGGCAGACUCUUUUCAGGGGUCUGCCCUGUGCAGUAACAGGUGUGAGCAUUCCUCCAGUGGCUUGAUGGUCAUGUAUGAUACUGCAUACACAU